rnacentral:rRNA from 1 species
GUGUCAGCAGCCGCGGUAAUACGGAGGGUGCAAGCGUUGUCCGGAUUUAUUGGGUUUAAAGGGUGCGUAGGCGGCCUUUUAAGUCAGUGGUGAAAUCCUCCAGCUUAACUGGAGAACUGCCAUUGAUACUGAGAGGCUUGAGUACAGACGAGGUAGGCGGAAUUGACAGUGUAGCGGUGAAAUGCAUAGAUAUUGUCAAGAACACCGAUUGCGAAGGCAGCUUACUAGGCUGUAACUGACGCUGAGGCACGAAAGUGCGGGGAUCAAACAGGAUUAGAUACCCCAGUAGUCC